rnacentral:rRNA from 1 species
GACGAACGCUGGCGGCGUGCUUAACACAUGCAAGUCGAACGGUAAGGCCCCAGCUUGCUGGGGUACACGAGUGGCGAACGGGUGAGUAACACGUGGGUGACCUGCCCCGCACUUCGGGAUAAGCCUGGGAAACUGGGUCUAAUACCGGAUAGGACCGCACCGUGAGGGUGUGGUGGAAAGUUUUUCGGUGUGGGAUGGGCCCGCGGCCUAUCAGCUUGUUGGUGGGGUAAUGGCCUACCAAGGCGGCGACGGGUAGCCGGCCUGAGAGGGUGGACGGCCACAUUGGGACUGAGACACGGCCCAGACUCCUACGGGAGGCAGCAGUGGGGAAUAUUGCACAAUGGGCGGAAGCCUGAUGCAGCGACGCCGCGUGGGGGAUGACGGCCUUCGGGUUGUAAACUCCUUUCACCAUCGACGAAGGUUUUCUGACGGUAGAUGGAGAAGAAGCACCGGCUAACUGCGUG